rnacentral:rRNA from 1 species
AACAAACGCUGGCGGCGUGCCUAAUACAUGCAAGUCGAACGGGGAAAGCCUUCGGGUGAGUACUAGUGGCGCACGGGUGAGUAACGCGUGGAUAAUCUGCCUUAGAGUGGGGGAUAACUAGUCGAAAGAUUAGCUAAUACCGCAUAAGACCACAAGAACUGCGGUUCAAGGGGUCAAAGGUUUUUCGCUCUAAGAUGAGUCCGCGUAAGAUUAGCUAGUUGGUAGGGUAACGGCCUACCAAGGCGACGAUCUUUAACUGGUCUGAGAGGAUGAUCAGUCACACUGGAACUGAGACACGGUCCAGACUCCUACGGGAGGCAGCAGUAGGGAAUAUUGCACAAUGGAGGAAACUCUGAUGCAGCGACGCCGCGUGAGUGACGAAGGCCUUCGGGUCGUAAAGCUCUGUCGCAGGGGAAUAACACAAUGAAGGUACCCUGUAAGAAAGGAUCGGCUAACUUCGUGCCAGCAGUCGCCGUAACAC